rnacentral:rRNA from 1 species
GUCUACGGCCAUGCCACCCUGAACACGCUCGAUCCCAUCUGAUCUCGGAAGCUAAGCAGGGUCAGGCUUAGGUUAGUACUUGGAUGGGAGACCACCAAGGAAAACCAGGUACUAUAGGCG